UCUCAUUGUACUGAUGAUAUUCACCUGCACCCCCUCUUCUCCCUCUUUCCUUCCCCUCUAUCCGCCAUCACCCAUCCGGCUUAGCAUGACGACCAAUCCAGAGUUACUACUGGCAGAUUUUCUUCAGGUGUAUGCAAAAGUCAACCAACACAGUAGUCAGCUUUUUUCCGGUGGGUGGAGCUAUAUGUCUUUCUAGAUGCCAGAUUACUCACUAGGAGGGUCGCUGGAUCUAUCUCACUCACAAGUCACUGCCCAAGAGGUAUUUUGUUCAUUACCAGAAUUCGUCAUUUGGGCUGAAAAAUGAGAGACAAAAAUUUCUUCGAAAAGCUAUUGAUAUAUGUAGUUAACUUGAUGUUUAGCACAAAAUUUUAGAGCUAUUGACUAUAUUGUCGUAUUUAACAAUUGGGAAUACUUAUGAAAUAAGAAAUAAUUUUAGAUUUUUACUAAAGAAAAGAAGCAUAGAAAACUAAAAAAAAAAAAAAAUAACAAAGAAUUAGACGACUAGUACCGGGUCCUCGAUUAACUAAACUACUAACUUAUAA